CUCCUUGUGGUGUAGUUGGCUAUCACGUUCGGCUGUAAAUGUUACAUUCAUAUACCGAAAGGUCACCGGCUCGAUUCUCUCUCGAAGAGA